rnacentral:rRNA from 1 species
CUCAUAGCGUAUAUUAAGUUGUUGCAGUUAAAACGCUCGUAGUCGGAUUUCGGGGCGGGCUGCUCGGUCUGCCGAUGGGUAUGCACUGGGUGGCGCGUCCUUCCUUCCGGAGACCGCGCCUUCUCUUAACUGAGCGGGCGCGGGAGACGGAACGUUUACUUUGAAAAAAUCAGAGUGUUUCAAGCAGGCAUCUCGCUCUUGCAUGGAUUAGCAUGGGAUAAUGAAAUAGGACUUUGGUGCUAUUUUGUUGGUUUCGAACACCGAAGUAAUGAUUAACAGGGACAGUCAGGGGCACUCGUAUUCCGUCGAGAGAGGUGAAAUUCUCAGACCAACGGAAGACGAACCACUGCGAAAGCAUUUGCCAGGGAUGUUUUCACUGAUCAAGAACGAAAGUUAGGGGAUCGAAGACGAUCAGAUACCGUCGUAGUCUUAACCAUAAACCAUGCCGACUAGGGAUUCGAGGGUGUUCCAUCUGUGACCCCUUGAGCACCUUUCGGGAAACUAAAGUCUUUGGGUUCCGGGGGGAGUAUGGUCGCAAGGCUGAAACUUAAAGGAAUUGACGGAAGGGCACCACCAGGAGUGGAGCCUGCGGCUUAAUUUGACUCAACACGGGGAAACUUACCAGGUCCAGACAUUGUGAGGAUUGACAGAUUGAGAGCUCUUUCUUGAUUCAAUGGGUGGUGGUGCAUGGCCGUUCUUAGUUGGUGGAGUGAUUUGUCUGGUUAAUUC